rnacentral:rRNA from 1 species
UACAGAGGUCUCAAGCGUUGUUCGGAUUCAUUGGGCGUAAAGGGUGUGUAGGUGGCGCCGUAAGUCGGGUGUGAAAUUUCGGAGCUUAACUCCGAAACUGCAUUCGAUACUGCGGUGCUUGAGGACUGGAGAGGAGACUGGAAUUCAUGGUGUAGCAGUGAAAUGCGUAGAGAUCAUGAGGAAGACCAGUGGCGAAGGCGGGUCUCUGGACAGUUCCUGACACUGAGACGCGAAGGCCAGGGGAGCAAACGGGG